GACGAACCGUGCGAACGUUAUUCGGAAUCACUGGGCUUAAAGCGCGUGUAGGCGGAUGGGAACGUCGGUCGUUGAAAGCCCCCGGCUCAACCGGGGAAUGGGCGCCGAAACGACCCGUCUGGAGGGACGUAGGGGGACCUGGAACUUCCGGUGGAGCGGUGAAAUGCGUUGAGAUCGGAAGGAACGCCCGUGGCGAAAGCGGCUCACUGGACCAUUACUGACGCUGAGGCACGAAAGCUAGGGGAGCAAACAGG
rnacentral:rRNA from 1 species